UCUUUAUUCAAGAAGAGAGGUUUACAUGGAGCUCAGAGCACAUAUAACUUCUUUAUUUAUGCAGCAAGAAUGCUUUAUAUACAAAAAUGGAAAGAUACUCUAAUUCCCACAAUGGAUGAAUGGCUGGAAAAAUUGAUGGAACUGGCAGAGAUAGCAAAAUUGACUGCUUUAAUCAAAGAAAGAAUACAUUUGACUUUGUUUCUCCUUGGAAACCACUUCUGGAUUUUGUGCUUGAGAUGGGGGGAAAAAUGAAAUUUUGACUUUGGAUUUUGCUGCUUAGAUAAAUUUGUUGUUAUAGAAAUGGCUAGUACAUGUUAAGUAUGUAAAAAUAAAAAAAUGAGGCUGUAAUUCACUAUCUUAUUCUAUUGUGCUAAAAAGAGUUGGAAGUCAAUGUUCUUCUUUUCUUUUUUUCUCUUUACACUUCUCUUCCCUUUUUUCUUCCCCAUUUCCUCACUAUUUUCACUUUCUAUCUUGAUAAACUUAAUAAAAUUAUUAUUAAUGUA